GUUUGAUGAGCUAAUUUGUGAUGUGGCAGAGAAGGAGUGAGUUUGAGGAAGCUAAGACACACUCUAAGUCACAAGAUGGAAUGACUCAUGCCUGUUUUGUACUCUUCUAAAUCCUGAGAUGCAGAAUAACUAUAUCAAAGUCAGCUGGAAUAUUCUAGAAUUCCAGGGACUCAGCCUGCCCAGUUCCUGGGAUCUUGUCUCCAGUUCAGCAAAGGUUGUUGCAGUGGAGAAAGAAACAACAGGAAGGAUCCAUGUCAGUUGUCCCAGGCUGCAGCCUGGGCAUGUCAAAUCUAUCAGGCAAAGACUGCAACAGUCACGUGGCUGAGUCGGGAUUUGGGCCUGAGUCUAUAAAGCCUACACUGUUUUGCACUAUGCAAGUAUUUGAGUUCCUCCUGAGGACAGAGCUGUCUCUGUUCCUCUGUGCCGUGGGCAGAUGGCGGGGAGUGUGUGUUCCUGCAGAAGAGCGUGCUGUCCCUGCUCCCCAGCCUCCCGCGGGCCCCUUCCUGGAAGACAUCCAGAAGGACCGGCAGCACUGCAUCAGCUUCCCAGACCACAGGAGCACUCACCACCUUCGAAAGCACGAGGCUGAGAGGAAUGACAUGGAGGGCCCCAUGGAGGUUUCCAGAGCACCAGGGACCAAGGCCCUGAGGACCGCAUUGGCUGGUGAGACAGGGUCCCUCACAGGUGGCUCUCCAGUUGACGGAGGCGCAGGAGCCGCUGUCAUUGUGUCUAUAGCUUAG
rnacentral:lncRNA from 1 species